rnacentral:lncRNA from 1 species
GUUGUCAAUGUUUUUAUUUGUUUUGAUGCUUUAUAUGAUUACAGGAUAUUUUCUAGUGUUUUACCUCUUAUUUUUUAAGUGGCGAGGAUCUUCAGAGGUCUCCACGUUUCACAGAUUGCUCUGAUGUGCAACGGCUGUUUUGCCAGACAAGCUGGGGCCGAGGGACGCCAGAGCACGUCCCAUAUCAAAAAGUAGAUAUUUCGCC